GGCAAGAUGGCACAGCGAGUAGCGCUGUUGUCUCAGCUGCAAUAGGUUAUGGGAUCGAUCCCCACUCUGUCU
rnacentral:tRNA from 1 species